rnacentral:tRNA from 1 species
GCCAUGAUGGUGUAGCUUGGUUAGCACAAAGGACUGUGGAUCCUUUAGGCUGGGUUCAAAUCCCAGUCAUGGCC